rnacentral:lncRNA from 1 species
CGACGCAAUCAGGCCAUCAUAGCCAUGGAAAUAGUGGUAGUAAAGCGCGAAGACGGUGGCCGGCUGUAUCCAGUAGAGAACAGAGGGGAGGCCGUGCUCAUGCGCCACAUCGGCGGCCCACGACAGAAGCAAGGUGUAGAUGACACAGGUGACAGGUCGGCCGCGUUCCUCGAGGGACCGAAUGAUGGCGGAGAGGGUCUUGGAACUGACGGAUCUGGUCCGAAGCGGGUAGGCCUUGACGUCGUCCACGUCCGGGUUGAAGCCGUCGUCGUAGCCAUCGGAGUGAGGGACGUAGGAGAUGAGGCCGUCGUCGACUUCUCCAUCGGCCGAGCUGGGAAACAUGCGGCGGUGGCCGGACAAGGCGAUGGAGAAGGUGAUCCUGGCGCCGGCGACGCGCGCGAGGCGCCGGGCGAGGUGGAGGGCAGGGUUGAUGUGCCCUUGAAGCGGGUAGGUCACCACAAGGAAAUGCUGCUCCAUUGAACUGAGUUGCCGGUCGCCAAACCGUGAGGAGGAGGGCGAGGAGUCUGUUGCCCUGGUGGAUCCACCGUGGGAUGGGCGAGGUAAUAUAGAGGGAGUCGAGGCCUUGCUGUGACGUGUGGUCCUACCCGGAGAACCCCUGCUCGGUGGUGGUGACGUUUGUGGUGACGUACGAGGAGGCUUUUUUAUUUCGUCUAUAUCAGCCGCACGCGAAAGACUGCUUGAAGAGUCGUCCUCCUCCGAACAUAUUAACUAAUAAUAUUUGAAUUUUUUUGGCUUUUCUCAAAAGAUACCUUCGUUCUUAUUUUUUUUUAAUUUGAUAUAUAUAUAUAUAUAUAUAUAUAUAUAUAUAUUUCUGUAAUACCAUAAAUAUCUCUCACCAUCUCCACUGACAAUUCAUCUCUACAGCUUAUGACUCCAUCCAAAGAUAUAUUCGUCUAAAUCGUUAUAAUAUUUUGAGAUGUCAUUGUGGUAUUUGAUUCAUGACUCCUAAUUCAUGUCUUAAGUUUAACAUAAGUUUAAAGCAUUAUAAUGAUGUUUUAAAAUAGUAUAAUUGACUUUUUAUGACUUGAAUGCAAGUUAUGUUUAUGUUCAUUUAUUAACAUUGUAUGCAAUGGAAAGAAACGUAAAGAUUUGCAUCAUUAUCUCUUAAAUAGUGUAUUCCUAUUGAGAUAUAAUGUUGUUUCUUAUAUAUGAAUGAAUUACCUCUGUAUUUCUAUUGAGAUAUGAUGUUUUUUAUAUAUGAAUAAUUUUUUUUAUAAUAUAUAUAAAAUGCUUUAAUACAAAUCAUGGUAUAUCCAUUGUACGAAAGGGAAAGAAUCAUAAGAAUUUAUAUCAAAUACCUCAAGAGUUCUCGGUUAUAAUAUUUUUGAAUAGAUUUAAGUGUUUUUUAUAUACUGUAAGUCUAUUAAAAAUAUUAUAAGAUAUAACCAUCUUCAUAUUUAUUUUAAUUUUAUUUAUAAUGCAGUAAGAAUAUAUAUUUGAAUCUCUUUUUCUUAUGUAGAAACUAAUUUUGAUUAGGUUUUGAGUUUUAUAAUUGCUUCUCAUAAUAUUUAUGAAUAGAUUUAUAGUGCUUUGAUAAAAGUAUCAAAAAUAUAGUAAGAUACACAAAAACAUUAUAAUCGACAAGAAGUUACCCUAUUUGGUUGAUAUAAUUCUUAAACUAAUAAGGAUAAUAAUUUAAAAUUUUAUUUUUGUAUGUAAGUUAAUUUUUAUUAGGUUUUGAUUAUGAAAAUAAGAGGAUAUUCAUACAAAUUUUGAAGAGCUAAUUAUAAAUUACUCAUGUAGUUAGUUACCUUUAGAUCCUAAUUCUUAUAAUUUCAAAAGGGAUCUCUAUACUUACAAAAAUAAAAUAUUUAAUCUCGUUUCUCCUCGUUGUCGAUUCUACUAACGAAAUUGCUUCACUUUCAAACAAAACUUAUGAAGUCAAGAGAAAAUAUAGAGCAAUUGAAUAGUAAUGUCUUAUUUUGUUCGAAAGUGAUACGUGGAGUAAUUGAAUAGAAAUAUCUCAUUUUGUUGGAAAGUGAAUAAUCAUUUUAUUGCCCCAAAGAAACAAUUCAAAAAAUACGAAUAAGUAAGCUCAUGAGAAGUUCCUAUGUGAUAUCAUUACGCGCAGCCCGUUUGGACUAAAUAAUUUGGGUAUUGAGCUUAAAUUUAAUUUAUUAAAAAAUAAAAAAAGGAAACGGUGGAGACGUGCACAGCGAGGGCAGCGAACAGGUGCGUGCGUGUAGUGAACGGGCAGCAUGAGAAAGGAAGAGAGAGAGAAAAGGAGAAAAAAAUUAAGAUUUUUAGGUUUUUAUCGGAGGAUCGAGCGAUUAAACUUCGUUGAUUUUGGCUCAUAUUUUAUAUGAAUAAUCUUUGCAAUAAGCUUUACAAUCUCAAUAGCAUUAAUUUGUAGUUUACCCUCUUUAAGAUAUUUUUCUAUUAUACUUAUUUUGUGAGAUCUAAAUUUUUUUUUUUCAUGAAAUCCAUCGUGAUGAUGAUAUAUUAAUGUUAAGCUGUGUUUAUGAUAUUAUUGUAAUCCUCUAGUUAUUUUGGAGAAAAUUUACUAUAAACAUGUUAUAUUUUUUGUGAUAGUGGAAGUUUAAAGUGGACUACGGUCCCGUGAUUUUUCUCGCAUUGGGUUUUCUAUAUAAAAAUUUCAUUGUCUAAUUUUGUGACUGAUUUAUUGUUCUAUUGUUUAUGCUACUCUGGUUAAUAUUUGCUUUUGAUAACAAGUUGGUAUUUUCACGAGAAACCCAUUUUGAUACACAAAGAGAAAAAAAGAAUUAUUCGACUAUAAUAAUUUUUCUCAACAAGUGAUAUCUUGUUUGGUAUUAGUUUUUUUUCUUGUGUGAUUGAAAUGGAACACUCAGAUGGUAUGAUUAAAUUGAACUCAUCAAAUUAUUCCAUUUGAAGACAUAUGAUGGAAGAUUUGCUCUGUUGCAAAGAUUUGUAUAAGUCUAUCAAAAUUAAAGAUAAACCUUCUACUAUGAAAAAUGAGGAAUGAGAGGUUCAACAUAGAAAAACUAUUACUUAUAUUAGAAGGUGUAUGUAUAUAAAUUUGCAUGAGUUUUAUGAUGAAACCAAAGUUGAUAUUGUUUGGCAAAGGUUAGAAAAUCUUUUUGCGAAAAAGAUAAUGGGAAAUAGAAUUUCUCUUCUCAGAAGAUUUGUAAAUUUGAAAUAUAAAAAUGAUAGUAACAUUGUUGAGCACAUAAGUCUAUUUCAGAUUCUUACAAAUAAGCUGGUUGUUUUGAAAAUGAAUAUAGAUGAUGAGAUACAAGGAUUAUUACUUCUCAGCUCUUUACUAGAAAGUUGGGAAACGUAUGUGGCGACAAUUUAUAACUCCAUGUCAAAGGGACUCCAACUAUAUAUGGUUAAAGUUAGUUUACUAAAUGAAGAUAUCAAAAAGAAAGAAUAGGGAGAAUCUUCUUAUGGUGCAUUUAUUGUUGAAUCUCGUAUUUUGAUGAUGAAACCAAUUGAUAAUUAUGUUUAUGUUUAACUGUAUUUUGAGUGAUGCAGGUCUACUCGAUCAGGAUUAGACAAUUAAGGCAGGAGGAAUUGACGUUGCGCCGGAGGAGAUCACGUUAGGAUAUUGGAUGGCAGAAGGCUUCGGACGUCGGGCAUCGGGCCAAGAGCGGAAUUGCGCCAAGGAUAUCGACGUUGCGGAGGUCAACCACUGAUUGGGCAACAAGCCGCAAGAGAGGACGAUGCGCCGAAGAACGGACGAAGCGCCAACCAAUGACGUGCCGGGCAACAGAAUGUCAAUUCACUUUAUAAUAAUUGUCUAGAUCAUAGUAGAGUUUUUGCUUGUGUGUGCAGGAUUAACUACGAUAACGACGAAGACAUAAAGCAAAACAAAGUGUCGGAGUCAAGCAUGAAGGAUUCAUUGCGAGUUCGAGAGUUCGACGGAAGUCCGAAGGUUCGUCGGGAAUGCUGCCAGAACUAGCCAAGAAUGAGUAUGGAGCUUGCCGAAGGGUUUUUCGGAAGCUCGCCGGAAGGUUCGUUGAAAGUUCGCGGAGCUCGCCGAGAAAGAUCGGAGCUUAUCGAAGAAGCUCGUUGGAACUUGCCAAGAUCAAAUCGUGAAGUCUAGGAGCUUGCCGGGAGUCCGCAGAAUGGUUUCCGAGAGUUUAUCGGAAGACCGUCGGAAGUUCGUCGGAAGCUCGCCGGAAGAAGUCUUGACUUACGAACUUUGUAAUAGCUUAGAAAAUGUCUUUAAAUUCAUAGUUAGCAUGUUAAUUAGGGUUAGGAUUAGGUGUUAAUCCUAUAACCCAAGUAGGGGUCAAUUGGGCCCGAGUUCGGACUGGUUUGGGCCAAGUUUGGAGCCCAACCAGUGAGCUGAUUUGGCCUAGGCGGUGGCACCGCCAGCAUCGGGAACAUAAGAGAAUUCAAAUUUUUGGAGCCCAAAUUUGAAUCCUCUUGAGGCCUAUAAAUACCCCUCAAGUCUCAGCUGAAAAACAACUUUUUGAGCAGCAAGUGAUUGAGAGAAAAGUCUUAGAAAAUCUUGUUUUCAAUUUGCUAGUGUUCACCUCCUUCUUUCUUGCUGAAAAUCUGUAAGAGAGUGAACCACUUGUAAAAGUUGUAAGAAGGGUAUUUAUCCUUCCCUUUCAAGAGAUUUGCUAGUGGAAGGUGGGAGCCUCAUCGAAGAGGGGCCUCGCAAGUGGAUGUAGGUCAUUUGACCGAACCACUGUAAAAUCGACGUAAUCUCUGGUUUGCAUUUACUUAUUGUCAUUUAUAUUACUGCAAACCAUUUGCACUUUAAUGCUAUACUGCUUUGUCUCCGUCUUACUUAUCUCUUCAAGUUAAAACGCAAUCGAAGCGUUUUUAAACGAAAACGUUNNNNNNNNNNNNNNNNNNNNGCUGCUGAAGGUGAUAUCAUUAUUGUUUGUGAUGACGGUUAUGUUAGUCUUAUAGCUCAAGACAGUAAUUGGAUAAUUGACUCUGAUGCUUCAAUUCAUAUUACAUCUUAUAGUUAUUUUUUCAAAUCUUACAUUGCUAGUGAUUUUGGUAAUAUCAUAAUAGGAAACAGUGGUACAUCUAAUAUUAUGGGUAUUUAAGAUAUUUUCUUGGAGACUAGUAUUGGAAGCAAAUUGAUACUCAAAAAUGUCAGACAUGUUCUAGAUAUUUGUUUUAACUUAAUAUCUAUAGACGGACUAGAUGAUGAGGGAUUUACACACUAUUUUGAUAAAAGCAAAUGAAAACUCAUUAAAAGUUCUUUAAUUGUGACGAGAGGAAAGAAGCUAAACUCAUUUUAUAUCAUGAAAGCUAAGCUACAUAAAGGAGAGAUUAAUACAAUUAAAAAGGGUGAAAAUAUAGAUCUUUGGUGCAAAAGGCUUGGUCAUGUUAGCGAGAAGGGACUUCAAACUCUUACUAGAAAGCAGUUCUUACCAGAGUUGUAAGGUGUAUUUCUUAAAUCUUGUGAUCAUUGCUUAGUUGGAAAAACACAUAGAGUUGCCUUUCAUACAUAUCCAUCAUCUAGAAGAUCAAAUAUUAUUGAUUUGAAUCAUUCUGAUGUCUAUACUAUGUAAACUAGAACUCUGGGAGGUGCUUUUUAUUUUAUUACUUUUAUUGAUGAUCAUUCUAGAAAAGCUUAGGUUUUUGCUUUGAAAUAUAAGGAUCAAAUACUUGAUUCAAAAAGUUUCAUAUCAGUGUUGAAAAAGAAAUUGAUAGAAAAUUAAAGUGUGUUCGAGCGUGGCGAAUACAAGGGUCAGUUUGAGAAUUAUUAUAGGUUCCAUUAUAUUAGGCAUAAGAAAACAGUUCCUAAAACUCAUCAACAGAAUGGUGUAAUAGAAAUGAUAAACAGAAUCAUUGAAGAAAUGAUUAGGUGUAUGCGUUCCCACGUCAAGUUACCUAAGUCAUUUUGGGGUGAGGCUUUGAGAACUAUAAUUGAUCUGAUAAAUUUUUCUACAUCAGUUCUUUUGAAAGGUGAUGUUCCAAAGAGUGUAUGGAAAGGAAAAGAUAUAUAUUAUAAUCACUUAGAGAGUUUUUGGACGUAAAGCAUUUGUUCUUAUUUCUAAAUGAGAGGUCUAAACUUGAUAAUAAGGUAAAAACAUGUAUUUUCUUGGGGUAUGGUCAUGAAGAGUUUGGGUACAAAUUAUGGAAUCAAGUGAACAAAACGAUUAUUAGAAGUAGAGAUAUUAUGUUUCUUGAAGACCAAUUAUUUGAUGAUGGUGAUAAUGUUGAGAAACUAAAAAUCUAUAUUUAUAUUCAUUUGAGUUUGGAUCCAGUUUCUUCACUUGUAGUUCAUGAUGAUUAUUGGGAAGAUGAAUAAGAAGAUUAUAGUGAGAAUGUCAAUGAUGAUUCUCCUACAGUUGAUGAUGUUGAACCAACUGAACAAGCACCUCCACUACCAGCUAAGAUUCCAUUGAGAAUAUUCACAAAAGAGCGACAACCAUCUACCAGAUAUCAUCCACAUGAGUAUAUUAUACAUACUGACGGGGGAGAGCCAAAAACUUACUAAGAAGCUAUUCUACAUGAGCAUAAGAAUGAGUGGGUUAAAGCCAUACAAGAAAAAAUAAAAUCCUUGCUUGAGAACCACACCUAUGACUUGGUAAAGUUACCUAAAGAGAAAAAAACUCUCUAAAAAUAAAUGGGUUUACAAAUUAAAGAUUGAAAAUAAUAGCCUACAAAAAAGAUAUAAGACAUGACUAGUUAUGAAAGGAUUCAGUCAGAAGACAGGUAUUGACUUUGAAAAAAUAUUUUCUCCUAUAGUGAAAAUAUCCUUUAUCCGAGUUAUUCUUGGUUUGAUUGCCUACUUGAAUUUAAAAGUUGAGCAACUUAAUGUGAAAUAAGUAUUUCUUCAUGGUGACUUAGAAGAAGAAAUUUACAUAGAGCAACCAAAAUGUUUCAAAGUCAACGAAAAAGAAAAUCUGGUAUGCAAGCUUAUAAAAAGCUUAUAAAAAUCUGAGUCAAGGAUACAAUCGAAAAAUAUCUGAUCAUUGUGUGUUUAUAAAGAAAUUUUCAAAUGGUGAUUUUAUUAUUCUCCUACUAUAUGUUGAUGAUAUGCUGAUUGUUGGUCAUGAUACUAAUAAAAUUAAAAAGCUUAAAAGAGAGCUAAGUAAGUCUUUUGUCAUGAGAGACUUGGGAUCGGUGAAACAAAUACUUGGCAUGAAGAUUCUUCGUGAUAAGAAGAAAAUAAAGAUUUGGCUAUCUCAAGAGACUUACAUUAAAAAUGUUCUUGAAAGAUUCAACAUAAAUAAAGCCAAAGUAGUUUGUUCUCCAUUUACAGGUUAUUUCAUGCUUAGUUCGAAAUAAUGUCCUACAAGUGAGAAAGAAAAAUAAGAAAUGUCCAGAGUAUCUUACUCAUCUGCAGUAGUUAGUUUGAUGUAUUUUAUGCUUUGUACUAGGUCAGAUAUAGCUCAUGCAGUUGGAGUUGUCAAUCAAUUUCUUUCUAAUCCUGAUAAGGCACAUUAGACAAUAGUGAAAUAGAUAUUAAGAUAUUUAAGAGGUAUUUCCAAGUUGUGUUUAUGUUUUGGUAGUGAUGAACCUAUGUUAAAGGGAUACACGAUGUAGAUAUGGCAGGUGAUACUGAUUCCAAGAAGUUCACUUCAUGAUUCUUAAUGACAUUUGUAGGGGGAGAAGUCUCUUGGUAGUCUAAGUUAUAGAAUUGUGUUACUCUAUCAAUCACAAAAGCAGAAUAUAUGGUAAUUAUUGAAGCCUGCAAGUAAGCUUUAUGGAUAAAAAAGUUUCUACAUGAAUUGAGCUUAGAACAGGAAAGAUAUACUAUUUACUGUGAUAGAAUGUUAUUCACCUAUCCAAGAAUUCAAUAUAUCAUUCUAGAUCCAAGUAUAUUGAUUUUAGAUAUCACUGGAUUCGUGAUUUACUUGAGAUGAAAGAAUUGUACUUAGAAAAUGUGUAUAUAAAUGAGAAUGGAUCAGAUAUGUUGAAAAAGUAUUUGCUUAAGAAGAAGCUUGAAGCAUGUAGAUGAAGAACGGGCUUAGUACAACCCACUAUAUAAGUUAGAGAGAGAGAAUUAUUAGGUCUAGCUCGUACGUGGGCUUGGACUAGAUGAUUGAAGCAUUGAGCUCAAAUUUAAUUUAUUAAAAAAAAAAGAAAAAGGGAAACGAUGGAGACAUGCAUAGUGAGGGCAGCGAACAGGUGCGUGCAUGCAGUGAAUAGAGAGAGGAGAGAAAAUGAGAGAAAAAGUUAAGAUUUUUAGAGCUUUUGCUAGAUGAUCUGAGUGGCUAAACUUUUUUGAAUUUAACUCAAAUUUUAUAUAAAUAAUUCUUGCAACAAGGUGUUUUCGUGUUAUACGUAUGUGAGAUUUAAAAUUCUCUUUUUAUAAAUUCCAUCGAUGAUGAUAUUCUAAUGUUAACUCGUCGAGAGGUUUUCUAUUUGACUCCACGAUUAUAAGUAUGAUUUGAACCAAGAUUGACACAGGUAAAAUAUAGAUCGGAUGUGAAAUCGAUUCAAGCUCGUUAUAUGAAUAGUAUUAUAGUGUUCCAUAGUCAAUAGCACAUAGUCGUGUCUUUUUUAGUAUCAAAUGAAGACAAAGUAGUUCCGUUCUUCCCACGUCGCAGUUGCAGUCCGCAGUGUUUUAUCUUUUGGCGUCGGUGAUCGAUGGUUUCAUUUGAGGGUCGCGAUCUCCUCCACGAACGCCCUCAGAUUGCAAUCCGACGACCCGCCUUCGCCUACCGCCUCCCGUGCCUUCUCCUUCCACAUCUCCGCCCUCCUCCUUAUCUCCUUCCCCGUCUCCCCUUCCCCCAUCACAGUCUCCACGCACCUGCUCAGCUCUGCCCCUUCCAGGACUCCUUCACCGUCGAGCUCGCCCCUCACACCCGUUCCCCACAGCUCUACCAGCCUCGCGUUGGUGCUCUGGUCCGACCACUGCGGCGCGGCCACCGUCGGCACCCCGCAUACUAUGCUCUCCACCGUCGAGUUCCAGCCGCAGUGCGUCACGAAGCACCCCACCGCCGGGUGCGACAGCACCCGCACCUGCGAGCACCACUCCACCACCAUCCCACCCUCCUCCUCGACCUCCCCCUCCAGUUCUCUUCUGUUCUCCUUCUUCAACACCCACAGAUACGGCCGCCCGCUCUCCUUCAGUCCCCGCACUAUCUCCUCAGCCUGCCGCUUCUUGAUCACCGCGAGGCUUCCGAACGACACGUACACCACCGACUUCUCCGGCUUCGAGUCCAGCCACUCCAUGUACUGCUUCUCGUCGAGCUUGAAGAGAUCGACUCCUGUGCUCCCCGUGCCUCUUGCGACCUCAGUGCCUUCUAAGAGAGCAGACGGCACCGUCGGCCCUAUCGGUAUCAGUUUCAUCUUUCCGGUAGCCACAAGCGCAUCGGAUUCUAAUUCGUCGAACGUGUUCACCAGAACCCUCGCCGUCGAGCGAGCUUCUUCGCCGUCCAGCACAUCGAACAUUUCCUGAAACAACUCGAUGAACAUGAAGUAGGGAUCGUCGGGGCUCGUAAUCCUGAGAAAGGAAGGUAGGUCGCAAAUCCUGAGCGGUGGCAACCCAGGCAAGUUCACCUGGAACAACGGGUCUUGUCUGUGCGACGCAAUCAGGCCAUCAUAGCCAUGGUAGUAGUGGUAGUAAAGGGCGAAGACGGUGGCCGGCUGUAUACAGUAGAGAACAGAAGGGAGGCCGUGCUCAUGCGCCACAUCGGCGGCCCACGACAGAAGCAAGGUGUAGAUGACACAGGUGACAGGUCGGCGGCGUUCCUCGAGGGACCGGACGACGGCGGAGAGGGUCUUGGAGCUGACGGAUCUGGUCCGAUGCGUGUAGGCCUGGAGGUCGUCCACGCCCAGUUUGAAGCCGUCGUCGUAGCCAUCGGAGUGAGGGACGUAGGAGAUGAGGCCGUCGUCGACUUCUCCAUCGGCCGAGCUGGGAAACAGGCGGCGGUGGCCUGACAAGGCGAUGGAGAAGGUGAUCCUGGCGCCGGCGACGCGCGCGAGGCGCCGGGCGAGGUGGAGGGUAGGGUUGAUGUGCCCUUGAUGCGGGUAGGUCACCACGAGGAAAUGCUGCUCCAUUGAACUGAGCUUUCGGUCGCCAAACCCUGAGGAGGAGGGCGAGGAGUUUGUUGCCCUUGUGGAUCCACCGUGGGAUGGGCGAGGUAAUAUAGAGGGAGUCGGGGCCUUGCUGUGACGU